rnacentral:misc_RNA from 1 species
GUUCUUGUUUGUUCUACAUCACUUAGCUGUGCCAUGCCAUCUGUAAUUCAAGUUAAUGAGUUUCUACCAUGUAAACCAUAUCAAUAAUGCAUCUCCAAACACCUAAAAGAAGAGCUGUGAUUUUUUCCUCCUUAAGCAAUACUAUUUGGAUAUUUGUUCGAAUUCCAUGAAGUUUCAGCAUGUGCAUGCCUAUGUUUGUGCCCAACAAGUAAAUGGUUUGCAUUUGGAUUUUGGUGAGGAUUGAAGGGAAGGGGAUUCAAAAUGUAAAGAUUUGUACUUGAUAUUUUAGUUUAAAUUACUUGAAUAAG